UCAGCCAGCAUAAUCUGUUGACCUUAAAUGUAGAGAAUGGAUCCCGACAAGCUCAGGAUGUUACUUUCAGUUGUACAAUGGAGCAAUUGCAGGAUCUUUUGGGGAAGUUGAAGGACGCGGCUAAAAGCAUGGAGAAGGCGAGUCAGAUGUAAUUGAUGGAGCUGUGAGGACCGCGAUUGAACUCCAAGCUGUGGGUGGCAUUAAAUGAAUCCGCCAAAACCUGCGCGCUUCCAGAUCGAGUGCAAGCAAAUUGAACAGCGAAACCAUAAAUAGUUCAAACUUUGCAUUCGACGAAAUGUAUAAAAUUCCGUCGUCUACGUAAUAUGAAUAAAAAAAACUCGUGACGAUGAAGACUUUUGCUCUAUCAGACUUGUAUAUUUUUAGAGUGACCAACAUUUUGUACUUUAGCUCGCGUUCAGCUGUAAAUACUACACUUUUCCUAAAUAAAGAUUCUUAUGACCUGA